UACGAAGGGUGCAAGCGUUACUCGGAAUUACUGGGCGUAAAGCGUGCGUAGGUGGUUUUUUAAGUCCGUUGUGAAAGCCCUGGGCUCAACCUGGGAAUGGCAGUGGAUACUGGAAAGCUAGAGUGCGGUAGAGGGUAGUGGAAUUCCCGGUGUAGCAGUGAAAUGCGUAGAGAUCGGGAGGAACACCAGUGGCGAAAGCGGUCCGCUGGCCCUCUACUGACGCUGAGGCGCGAAAGCCAGGGGAGCAAACGGG
rnacentral:rRNA from 1 species